AACGAACGCUGGCGGCAUGCCUAACACAUGCAAGUCGAACGAUUGCCUUCGGGUGAUAGUGGCGCACGGGUGCGUAACGCGUGGGAAUCUGCCCUUAGGUUCGGAAUAACAGCUGGAAACGGCUGCUAAUACCGGAUGAUAUCGCGAGAUCAAAGAUUUAUCGCCUGAGGAUGAGCCCGCGUUGGAUUAGGUAGUUGGUGGGGUAAAGGCCUACCAAGCCGACGAUCCAUAGCUGGUCUGAGAGGAUGAUCAGCCACACUGGGACUGAGACACGGCCCAGACUCCUACGGGAGGCAGCAGUGGGGAAUAUUGGACAAUGGGCGCAAGCCUGAUCCAGCAAUGCCGCGUGAGUGAUGAAGGCCCUAGGGUUGUAAAGCUCUUUUACCCGGGAAGAUAAUGACUGUACCGGGGGAAUAAGCCCCGGCUAACUCCGUG
rnacentral:rRNA from 1 species